GUGGUUGUGAUGAUUAUAAACAAUUCCUCGUACUGAAUGCUAUAUGCAUGACAGACACUUUACACCCAUAGAAUAUGAGCAACU